ACGUGUUUGUGUGCUUGGAGGUUACUAUUGCAUCAAAUGCUUUCCCGCAUGACACCAUCCCACUACCAACUGCUCCCAUUAGCCUUCCAACUCACCUCCGUUAUCUGCAAGACUAUCUGCCCACUUCGGCAGUCACACAUCUGCUAGCUGAUCUCCUGAAAAUGCAGUUUGACCACGUUCAUUCCAAAACUACAGGACAUCCACCACGUGCCAGGCCUUCAGACUCAGACUGGGAGUUACAGCAUCAGCUCCUAUGGUUCUCAAGCCUUUGGACCCAGACUAAACCACACCAUUGGCUUUCCUGAGUCUCCAGCUUGCAAACAGCAGAUCAUGAUGGAUCUGAAAAAGGAAGGGAGAAGAGAUGAAACGAGAUGGCCAGUGCUGAAGUUAAGCGACAUAUACCACUCUCUUUGAGUUCGAUAUACCAAUCUUUUAACUUUUGCAUUAUGUUUGAAAUGUU
rnacentral:lncRNA from 1 species